AGAACCACUGAGCUACAUCCCCGGCCGCUCAUUUGUUUUUAUUACUGUAGUCAUCACUACCAGUGAUUAUUACGUUUACGAUGCAUUAUUGUGCAGCAAAUCCACACCCACCCUGGGAGCCGGGCGGGUCGCUCCAGCUCCUGUUCUGUUGACUCUUGCCUGUGAGCACCUGGCUGCAUUUGUUUCAGGGUGUUCAUCGAUACUUAGAAAUUUGCUGGAUGUAGAGGAAACAGACUUCAGGCUGACCACACUUUAAUUUUGUGACAGUGAGAAUUUCUGUGUGAACAGUGUCAUGCGCUGUUCUGCAGCAUGGUCCUACCCACUCCUGCUUUGAGUGCUGCCUGUCUGUCCCCCUCCAUCCUGGGCUCUGUGUGUCACGACUGCUGGACCUUGGAUGCCUGCCUGUCUCUGCGUGUCCCCUCUGGGCCUCCUCCUUCUGCUGUCGCCACACCCACAGCCCUGCUAUCUGCAGACAGCCCUGUGGCCUCCCGGCAGAAGCCUCUUCAGCAUGCCAGGGCUUCCUGACCUCCUUCACAGAGGUAAUGCUUCUUCCCACAUUCUUGCAUUCAGCCUUUUUUAUUUUUUCUAUUACACUGCUGAUUUUUUGGAGUGUCUUUUUUAGAAAAUGUUUUUUCAUCUUUUAUCCAUUGAAAGUUAGGAAACCAACAGUAAUAAUGCAGUAAGUGCCUCUAUCGGGUGUUUACCGUACUGCAUUCCCUCACUAGGCCUUGGCUUGCUUCUUGAGAGCAGAACUGGAGUCAGAAAACAUCACAGUUGUGCCAUCAGUGCAUGAUCAAAUGGAAGUCAUUAUAAAUAAUCUAAAUGCUUUUCAUGAAUAUGCAUCGCAUCUGUUGCUCAAGUAGAUGAGCUGUGUAAUUAUGAAGCAUGGUUACCUUCUCUUUUAAUAAUAUUUUUAAUUUAAAAAUUUGUUAUUAAUAUAUAUUUGGAAUACACAAUGAAUAUAUUCUUGGUGGGGGUAUUGAUACCUGUAUCUAUAAAUAUAGAUAUAUCGAUAUAUAUGCAACACAUACCUUUAUCUAGUGAACUCUAUGGAUAUAGAUGUCUCAUCUUGAUUCUUUUUAUUUCCUCAAUACAUAAAACUAAAUGAUAAUGCUGGUGUGUAAUGCAGAAGUACCUAUUUUAUGUGGCACGCUGUGUCUUACCCCAUCCCAGGAAGGCUAAGUUGCCAGAGUAGGCUAAGUACGCAGAGUAGCUUUAAGGACAUACAGGUUCUUACAGCCCAGGUAAUGCUCUUGAAGUGACUGUGGCUUGGUGUGUUCCUGGUGGUCCCUCCAGAGCUCAGUUUCUUCUACUCUUAUGUCCUGACUCCACCUAGGACAUGAACCCUUCAUUGUUCUUGCUAGAAGAGGGCAGAAAGACAGAAAAGAGGGAACAUUGCAGCCUCAGAAAUGACACAUUCUCCUUCUGCAUACAUUCAUUCUAGGAGACCUAGUAACACGGGAAAACCUGCCCUGGGAGCUUUAAAGUAUAGUUGGCAGCUGCAGAGCAGUGCAAGUGAAGAAAAGAAUGAAGCCCAUGGUCCACUAGCAGCUGCUGUUAUGAACAGUAUCUCUACUAAACAAAAUCAUAAUUUGGGUGUUGUGUAGCAAAAACAACUCUAAAAAGAUGUCAGCACAGAGAGCGUACCCUUGGUUUUAUUUUAGAACUACCAGUUAGUUGGGACUUACAGGAA